UUCUUCUCCUUCUUCUUCUUCCUCGUCUUUUGUAAUUUUUUUUAAUGGAAACCGCCCAUGGCGACUGCUGGUUUAGCAUCAGCAGGUGGUGAUGGCAACAUUGUGAGUGCUAAAACACCGCUCGCGGCAGCUGCAACUGCUCCAACUACAAAUCCAGGCAAGUUUCCUCCUCCAAACAAAUCAUCCCAGGGCCCUCCUACUAGUGACACCAACAUCUGUGGUACAACAAUUGCAAGAUUGAGCACUCCUAGUGACAAACCUUGUCCUGAACCAGCAUUACUAGAAAAUAUAGAUGCCAAAGCAAAUGGAAUACUAAAAGUUACCGCAAGAGGAAUACCAAGGGCGGCAAAGAGAAGCAAGGCACCGAUUUUAACACCAGGCGUCGGGCCCAUGAGUGUACCGGCGGCGUCGUGCCGGCGAGAUUUCUCGGCCAUUUUGGUUACCAAAAUAGUCAUAGCUAAGCAAAUAGCUAAAACGAAGUUCAAAAUCCCCCAUAGUCUCUUAGCACCACCGAUCUUCUUCCCUAAAAAUUCAACCCCAAGUGACAUAAACCCUAGAACAACAGAUUGCAACAGUAAUCCUAAUGCACCAGCGCGUACACCCAAAUCGUACAGUUUCGCAUCACCGACUUGUCCACCGAAAACCUCCUUAGCCAUCCAAUCUGUGUCGUAUAAGAAAAAGGGAAACCACGCAAUCCAGUUCAAACAGGUUACUAAUAGAAGAAUCCACAUGGGUCUAGGUAAAUCUUUCAAAGCCCCAAAAAUUUCACCGAAAAACGGUACUUUCGAUUUUCCGGCACCGGAUAAUUUCUCGUCGAUUUCUAGCUCUUCUUUCUCCGGGAGUUCGUUUUCACGGACUAAAGUUAAGGCUAAAGUUGUUAAACUGAGUAAAAGGAAUAUAGCGAUGAAGAAACAACUCUUCAGAUUUGCACAGUACAUAUCGCAGGCUUUGGUUUUUGAGAAGGGGAAUACUUUGAAUAGGCGAGAAUAUGAACCGGCGGCGUACCCCAGAAUGUUUCCGACGGCCAUGAAAAAUGAGAAAAAUGCAUUUGCUGUUCUCAUCCUGCCGGAUUUUCCGCCGGAGAGAUCAGCCAGUAGUGCUCUGCAUGGGCCCUGUAACAUGUUGUUAGCAACAUCAAGGAUCCAAAAGCCGACGACGAAUACAGCAAUCGCUCGUGGUUUAGAUCCUUUUCCGAGAGGGUCACCGGAGGCAUGACCAAGGUCGGCGGCGAAUCCGAUCAGAAAAACGGCAAUGGUAACCAGUGCAGCUCCGGCGGCAAUGAAGGGUCGGCGACGACCGAAACGUGAGGAGCAAUUAUCACUGUAGUAACCGACCACUGGUUGAACAAUCAUACCAGAAAUGGGUCCACAAAGCCAAAUAAAAGAGGCAAAUCGAUGAGGAAUACCGAGUAAUUGAACGUAAGGUGUAAGCAAAGAGAGCUGAAGAGCCCAACCAAAUUGAACACCAGCAGCUAUGGAAGCUACAACUAUAAUUUUCCAUAGCUUUGAUGGUGGUAAAGGCUGUUCAAUUUGUAGAGAAGAUGAAACUGUAAGUUUCCCUUUUGUACCAUUCUCCAUUUUUU
rnacentral:misc_RNA from 1 species